UGCUGUAUCUACGCCACGGGCUUCUCUGAAAUCCAGCCACACCACUGGGAAGGAGAAGGACCAGAGAAGAAGAGCCAGGCUUCCCAGAAUACGCCAGCAGGAGGGGAGCUGGGGGUGGCUGGAGAGGCAGCUGCAUUGGGCACAGUUGGCAUGCCCAGCUCCUGGCAGCUGUGCAGAGCAAGCGGGAGCCGUCUCCCUUCGCCGCCGCCGUGUGGGCUGCGGCAGAACCGUGAGGUGUGGGGUGGCAGGCGCGGGUGGCAGGCCUGCCAGCUGCCUGGAAGCGACUCCUCAGGCACUGUUAGCUGUCGUCUGUUCAUCUAGCCAUCGAGAGCAUGAAGGAGCCUCUAGAACCUUCCACAGCUGGCCGGAGCUUCUCUCUGCCCACGGGAUGACUGUCUGGGAAGUCCUGAGCCUCCUAGCUUUGUGACUCUGCCUUCAGUGAAAAGCUUCUUUGUGGACUGCGGAUGAAAUGACACUCCCCGCAGGGACCAGCCCAACCAUUUGUUUUGGCUGCGUUCAAAGCCACACUUUUGGUGGCCAGGGUCUAAUUCUCCACCCUGGAGUGACUCAGAGGCCCAGAGAGGAAACCAGCAGUUUUGAGGGAGAGAACACCACACCACGGAGAGCUGUCUGUCUGCCUCCAAAUGUGUCCUGAGGGGACCAGUGUUUACCACUGCAUUUACCAAAGGCACGAAACCCCACACAACCCGGGUCUGUGACCAUGACCUUGGUCCUCCUGGCAAUCUCUGUUCUGCACCUAUUUAACAACCAGCUAAGGUGGUGUUUGUGGAGCCCCUGCUGUGUUCAGGACCUGACUAAGCCCCUGCUGAAAAUUGUGGGGUUAACAUGGCUAUGGCCCUAUGCUGAGGCUCCUCGUGCAGCCCUCCUGGUAUCCCCCAGGGUGGGUGCUAAUGACCUAGAGAAGCAGGAAACAGGAUUUCUCCCAGGGCAGUUCCACCCGUGUUUAUGUGGUGGCUGAAAAGACAGUUUUGCUGCUAAGAGAACUGGCUGCUCUUGAAGAGAAUCUGGGUUCAAUUCCCAGCUCCCACAUGGUGGCUCACAACCGUCUGUAACUUCAGUUCCUGAGGAGCAGACACCUAUUCCAGGCCUCCGCAGCACCAGACAUAUAUUCAGGCAAAACACCCAUACACAUUAAAUAAGUAAAUAAUUUUUAAAUGACUGUGUUCAUGGGACAAGGAAAAGGCAGCAGAAGCGUGUAACAGCAUCAACAGCAGUUGGUGUUGAUGGUGAGGAUCAACUACCCUUUCAUGCCUGAUGCAAGACUCAGGUUCUCAGCCGUAAGUAGGUACCAUUGCUCAGUAUGGGUGCGGACACAUCUUAAUUAUAAAAGUAAUUUAUGCAAAUUGAAAACCGGGGGAGUCACUAGCUCCCUUUCCCAUGCCGGAGCAUGGCCCUCCAGUCCCCACAAGUGGGUCCUUGGUGGUUCCAUCUGGACUUGGAGCCUGGUAAUAACACUCAACUCUGGCCUGACUGAAGAAAUUCAUAUUUACCUCGAGAGGUGCUUGGGGCCCAGCUUCUGCAUGUUUACCCAGUUCCAUGUGGAAACUGCUCAGAAAGUCACAUCUGAAACCAGAGGGACAGUGAAGUCUGUGAAGUUUCUGCCAUGUGAGCGGGACGGCCUGGGCCCCACCCUCGGAACCCACUAAAUAACCACGGCAGCCACGGCAGACACAUCUGCCUGCAGGAACAGACAGCAGGACCCUGGAGCGGGAUGGCCAGUCAAGCUAGCCAGAACCAUGAGGAAAACAGUCAGAUAAUACGGGCCUCUGGCCCACAGAUGCAAGCACAAACAUCCAAACACAUAUGCACAUAGAUGCACGGGCACCUACAUAUGUGCGCACACACAUGCCCCCAUGCCCACACACGCAUGCACUCACACACACACACACACACACACACAUGCACACACACACAUACACAUACAUGCAUACACACUCAUACACGCACACACACAUGUACAUACAUACACACACACACACGCACACGCAUGCACGCACGCACGCACGCACGCACGCACACCAACUUUUCUUCUGAACAGAUGGCAGCUUCACUCGGAAUCGUGUGUUAAUCAGAAACACAUCAUCCAUAUUGUCAACACUUUGUUUAACCACUUCUAUAAAUUCAGCAUUAGUGUUGGAGCGGUCCUGGGUUGAUGGAUGGAGUCGUCGGCUGCCCUCGACAGCCAGAGCCCAUAAAACUAAGUCUGGGGCUCGAGACUCCAAAGACAGAGACACUCGACAUUCACCCAGACUUGUGAUGUGUGGACAACGAUGUGGCUCUGGGCUGGAAGGAAUGGUGGGUCCCCCAGGAAGCCCACGAGAUGCGGAGAAGCAAGAGCGCCCCUCCAGGAUCCUACAGGAGUUAUUUUUGAGAAAUCUCAACCCCAGAGAUUCUGGGUGUGCCUAGAAAAAAGCCGCACUCAGGAGUACAGAGUGCAAUUUCCAUCCUCUGAAGGGAGCUCUGUGGAGCAUGUGGCUACCAAAUACCGAAGGCGGCAGGAUCGGGCUGUGACGCUCCACUUGACUAUGACAAGAAGCUGGAGCCUCCCAUCUGUCUGUCUGCCUGCCUGUUGUCCUGGGCUCUGCCCCUGGCUGAGAGGCACACAUCUGCAAGCUGCCCUGGGGAAGUUGUCCCUGUGCCCUGUUGAGAACCACAAGGAGCAAGGUGGUGACUUCAGAGUUGAGGAGGGACACAGACUGUCCUCCUAGUACACUCCAGCCAGAUGAAUGGAGAACAGCACAAGGGCAUACAGUCGGGGGGGGGGGGGCGCAGGACCUCUGACUCAUGCUGGAGGUCGGGGCAGGUACUAUUUAGGAUACCCAGAGGAAGAGGCAGAGGAGGGUGCUCCCAGACACGAGGAGAAGCCUGGGGCUGCAGGUGAGUGCUUCCCUGGGGAUCUGAGAAGGAGGGAGUGGCCAGGGGCAAGGUUAGAAGGAAGAGCCAGGGCCAGGUCACACAGAAACUUUCGAGGCUCUUUAUUCCAGUGGAGGAAACUAAGGCAAUCAGUGGGCCAGUGACAUCCAGGUGAGAGCCAAUCACGGUGAACCAUCAAGCCAGGCCAUGCUCCUGCCACCCCUCUGCUCUGGAGACCUGUUGCUCAGGAUCUCCAGGCUGCCUUCCUUCUAGGGUCCCCAAGAAGAGACAGCAGGCCCGAGGCCCUGGUCCUGCAGCAACCCCUAUCUUAUCCUCCCCAGACCCCCUCCCAAGCUCUCCCUCCACACCCCAGCUCUUCCCAAAGGCCUGUUUUUCCAGAAACACAAGCUGAGCGGAACCCCUCCCUGGGCCUGACUGAAAUAAGAACUCCCGCAGAAGAGCACUUUCUUGGAGAGCUCUGUGGAGCCUCCUGCCGACUCUGGACACAUCCAAGCUGGGUUUGCUAAAAUAAUAAUCUUUAGGAACCCAGUUCGCCUGCUGCCAAAAGCCUCGCCUGAGAGCUUCGUGUACCAGCAGCCCUGACCCAGAAAACUGACUGUGAGGUAACUCAGCCCAGAGGCCCGAGGGAGCCAUGCCCUUUUGUUCUCUCUCUCUGUCUCUCUCUGUCUCUGUCUCUCUCUCUGUCUCUCUGUCUCUCUCUCUCUCUGUCUCUCUCUCUCUCUCUCUCUCUCUCUCUCUCUCUCUCUCUCUCUCUCUCUCUCUGUUACCCCAUCCCUCUCCUUUUUCUCACAGAUGAAUUAAGCCUGAUGCUGUAGGCCAGACAUCCCAGCUACUCAAGAAGCUAAGGCAGGAGAAUUAAGCUCAAGGCCUCCUAACCGGGCUACAGAGUGAGUUCAAAUCCAGCCUGGGCAACCUAGUCAACCUCUGUCUCAAAAGCAAAAGAAAAACAAACAAAAAAAAAGCAAAAUAGGCCAGGUGGUGGUGUCGCACGCCUUUAAUCCCAGCACGUGGGAGGCAGAGGCAGGCAGAUCUCUGUGAUGGAGCUACCAUCAUCACUAUGACAGAGCACGCUGAGGCCCUGGGUUCAAGUCCCUGUAUGGCAACAAUAUCAAAAAUACAAAUGGCUUCCCCGUGGUGUGUUCUCGAGAUGGGCUGUCACAGACACAGCAACAAGGUGUUUGGCUGAGACUCCAGGGAGGUGGAAGCCCACAGAUCCGGUGGCCAUGGAGACUGACACCCUACAAGGCAGUCAGCAUGUCUCCAGUUCCAUCCCAUGGGGACCUGAAGGGGCCUUAAGGUGGUGUGACACCACAGGCUUAGCUCAGUUGUGGCAGAGGGCCACGGGCUCUGGAGGACGGUUCUGACCCAUGUCCUGGGCUCUGGAAGAAACCCUGUCUCUCCUGACUCUGCCUACUUGACUGGAAGAUGGCCAGGUCACCGGGCUGCACAUACCAGCUGUGGUUGGCUAACCCCAAAGGACUAUGCCAGCCAUGGCAGGCUCACGGCAUGCCACAUGUGAGAGUCUCCCAGAUUGAGGAAAGGAUACUGUCACUACCACCUUAGGGACCCUUGAGAUCUCUUUCCAGCAGCUGUGGAGGAAGGACAUCACUAAGAGGUGGAGACAGCAGAACAGGGAAUGAUCACCUGGCACCAAGGACCUGGCUGAGAACAGUCCACUGUGGACUCUGAUCUGCUCCCCAGGGAUCCCAGCAGACCCACAGUCACCUGCUUCUGAACAGAGGGGCCAGGUCUUCAUCUCCCACCGCUCACUUCCUUGGAGGACCUCCUGAACUCAUCUCUAGAAGAAGCCACCCACACUGGCUCUCUCUCUGCAGCGGUGACCUGACAGUGACCACAGCUGCUCACACUGACGGUUACUACUCCUGUUCUCCAGCCCGACUGUGGAUGUGAUGUGGUGGAUGUGAUGUGGUGCACCGUCUCCUGCCUUGUCUGUCCAGACAACCUGGGACAGAACAAACUCUUUUCUCCAGUAACUUGCUUUCGUCAGGCAUUUUGUUACAGCAAUCAAAAAAAAGGAACUGACCACCACCUCCCUGGAGGUGCUCCCUGGAGGUGCUCUCCCAGGGCACCAGCCCUCAGCCCUGGGGACCGUUUGUCCUAGGUCCCUUCAGAAACAGACUUGGUGAUAGCUUUGUUCUCAGGGCAAGUGGGGGUCCAUGAGGCAUUAGCUGGGGGUGUUCACUGCAGCUGCUCAUCUAGCCUGGAUCCAACUCACCGGAUGGCACCACGUGGCUGAUGGAGAAGCCCAGGUGCGGUGUGAAGAUCAGGGCAGAAGCCAGCUGCUUCCUGCGGAUCUGAGCCUCUGAGCCUGGGUCUCAAUUUUCCCAUUUUUGAAAUGGAGAUGUUGCCAUGACCUAGAAAUAAUUUCUGUGUACGGAACAGGUGACACUGCUUGUGAGGUGAUCCUCGAAAGCCACUCAGCAUAGCGCCCCACUGUGAGCGGUCAGGACCACAGUUUUGUAGCUUUUAUUUUGAACACUGUGAACGAACAGCCUAGCUAGUAAGGACAGGAUGCCAUCCCAGUGCACCAGAGCACCGAGUGGUGACGUGACAGAGUGGAGCACAGGGCACAUCUGGAGCAGAGCUAACACUCCGUGAACGAGCACUAACACUGGUGUCAACGGUUAUUAAUUAAUAUCGACGUCACAGACAUUGGUGACACCCAUAUUUGAUAACUAAGACCCAGGCUAGUAGAAACGGUCUCUGAGUUCCUCUCACCUGUGGACUCCGCACACCAUGAAGGAGGGAAUGCCUCUGUUCAAGGGAGUUUCUUCCACAAUAAUGAGGCCAUAGCUUGAUGGAUCAAACAUGGGAGGCCCUGGUCCAUGUGAAGUCCAGAGAAACAAAGUAUGGCCUUUAGGAUAAGUAUCUCCCAAGCCCUGCCUGGGGUAGACUUACCCUGACGGACAAUCUGACGCUCAGCUGUAACUGAGUGUCAUGUGUUUCUACUUGCUAGACCUUAUUACUACCAGUAACCAUGACAACAGCUCCUGUAACCUGAGGAGCCCAGAGACUCCCCAGGAUGCAGAGCUGGCCUGCCAGGGCUCUUGGCCUAGGCCCUGGGCUCAGUCACUUCCUGUGGCUGUCUUGAGCAGGGCUGGAUUUCUCUGCUCGAGUUGCCUUGGGCCAGCUGUCCUGAUUCCUGUGUCCUGACGGGGUUCAGUCUCUGGAUCAUGUUGUGCCUCUCCUGGAAUCUGGACCUUUGCUGUGUGCACUCCAGUGUCGCGCUGGCUCCCAGGCCAGCCACCUGCUCUGUCACAUCCUGGUUGAGUCCCUGAGCCCCAUCGGUGGCUCUAAUAGAACCCAUUCCAAGGCAGGCUGGUGCUGACGGACAGACAGACAACAGCAUGGAGCAAAGCAGCCAAGACGAAGCCAUGUGGGGAAGGGAAAGAAUCUGAGAUGACGCAAGCCUGGCCUCGGGUGACCCGGCCCCACUGUGGCGGCCAGCCACAGCUGGGUGUGGAGACCUUCUUACGCACAUCCAAAGCUGGCUGCAGCAUCUUGAGGUCAAUGCCAAGGUCAAGGCCGGGCCUUGAGUCACCUGCGGAUGGGAUUUGGGGUUCCUUGUCUGUUUCUGGCCUGCUCUUCUCCUCCAUCUAGCCUGCCUCUGCUGAGAAAGGGCCUCUGAGUAGGUCUCUCCAGCCAGUGCUCUGGAGGCAUUCCACCGUUAGACGCAGGCUCGGGAAGCUGGGUUUCUCUGAGCUACAGGCCAGGGCUGGGCUUCCAAGCCAGGCCCUCAUCACAGCCAAGGCAUGACUAGUGAGCCUCAACUGUGGGCCUCAGGCACACAAACAGCCCGUUCACACAGUGCAGGAAACUCAUAUAAAGCUGUAAAUGAAAACCCUC